UGUACCUACGGGAGGCAGCAGUGAGGAAUAUUGGUCAAUGGGAGAGAUCCUGAACAAGCAAAGCCGCGUGAGGGAAGACGGCCCUAGGGGUUGUAAACCUCUUUUGUAGGAGGACAAAACCCGGGACGUGUCCCGGACUGCGUGUAUCCGAAGAAAAUGCAUCGGCUAACUCCGUGCCAGCAGGCGCGGAAAUACGGAGGAUGCGAGCGUUAUCCGGAUUUAUUGGGUUUAACGGGAGCGUAGGAGGUACGUUAAGUCA
rnacentral:rRNA from 1 species